AAAGCGUUUCCGGCAGGGUUUGAACAUGUGCGUGGAGCUUGCUGGCACAGAUUUUUUUUCUUCUUUUGAAUUUAUCUAUCUAUCACUAUUUUAUGUGAUGAAAAAGCAUUAUCCUGUGUAAUAUUUGCCUACCUUUAUGAGGGGAGCGGGGUACGGUCUUAUUUAUUUUGUGUUAAGUGGUGAUUUGUUUAUGUAGUUAUUUGAUAUUUACUUUGGUAGCGUCAUGUAAUGAUCCUGUUUCGUAGGUGUAUAUGUUAAAAGAUGUUAAAUGAAUUUGUGAAACAUGCAAUGUGUAUUUGUAUGUUUAAUGCAGUUUUCAUGGUGCUUAACGACACCGAUUGACGGAAAGGUUUAAUCGUGUUUUAUCUGUGCUAUGGUGAUCAGCGAUGGACAAAAUACGAGAAACUUUUAAAGCACCAGUCCAGACACUCAUUUUGGAUUUCAAGGACUAUUAUGUAUAUGAGUAUCGUAACGUCGCAAUGCGCCGUGGGUACGGGGAGUACCUUCGCUUGUCCCGUGCAGCUUUAAAAUGCGGAAGGAUGCUACUGCGAUGUGGAGCAUAGUGUAAUUAUAUGAAGUUACAGCUAGUGCAGCAGAAAUGCUGGCAAUCUGAACUGUAAGGUUUUGGACCAGUGCUGAACAUCACACACUCAAUGCUGGCUGGGAAUAUCACUAAAGCAGAACCUUACGAAUGCCGACUGUGAACUUAGUACUGCAGAAAUGGCAGUAUAAAUUGUAAGGGCAGGACAUUUCAGGGAAGAGGGCAGGAAAGAGUCACCUCUUUUCAGUCAUGGUGUCCUGUACUCCGGAAAAACCUGUGUAUGCUGAAUCAGACUAAGCUGGGUGGACAACACAACAGUGCAGUACAAGAAAAGUCAGAGCAAACUGCUUUCUAAGGAGACUCUAGUGUUUUGAUCUGUGCAGCAAGAUGCUGUACAUGUUUCGUCAGUUGGUUAUAGCUAGUGCUGGCGCUAGUCGUAAUUGAUGUUGUGAGAGCAUUUUGGUUUCCCAAUAAAUUUCCCAUUAAGUGGAGACCGUAAUUAAGUUCAAGGUGUUUUGCGAACUAGAAUUUGUAGCUAGAAACCUAUCCAGAGUGCUAGCUCAUUUGUGACGACAAUUGUAUGUUCAAAGUAAAGCAUAAACAGACUCUACCUGUGGUAUUUAUGGAGCUUUUGCCAGGAAAUUCAGGCCAGGCUAGUAACUAGUUAUAAGGCUAUGUAUUGCUACAACUAUGUAACUGUACUCAGUAGUAGAGAACCCAGAAUUUAAUUCAUUAUGAUGGCCAUGUGCAAAUAAGGUUUUGUUAUUCAAACACAUCAACAGAUGCAUUGCCUUCGGUUGUACAUUGUUCCUAAUUGUUUGUACUUUUUAAAAAUAAAUUUCAAACCAAAUUGUU